GACGAACGCUGGCGGCGUGCCUAAUACAUGCAAGUUGAGCGAUGAAGAUUGGUGCUUGCACCAAUUUGAAGAGCAGCGCACGGGUGAGUAACGCGUGGGGAAUCUGCCUUUGAGCGGGGGACAACAUUUGGAAACGAAUGCUAAUACCGCAUAAUAACUUUAAACAUAAGUUUUAAGUUUGAAAGAUGCAAUUGCAUCACUCAAAGAUGAUCCCGCGUUGUAUUAGCUAGUUGGUGAGGUAAAGGCUCACCAAGGCGAUGAUACAUAGCCGACCUGAGAGGGUGAUCGGCCACAUUGGGACUGAGACACGGCCCAAACUCCUACGGGAGGCAGCAGUAGGGAAUCUUCGGCAAGAGACGAAAGUCUGACCGAGCAACGCCGCGUGAGUGAAGAAGGUUUUCGGAUCGUAAAAAUCUGUUGGUAGAGAAGAACGUUGGUGAGAGUGGAAAGCUCAUCAAGUGACGGUAACUACCCAGAAAGGGACGGCUAACUACGUG
rnacentral:rRNA from 1 species